AACGAACGCUGGCGGCAUGCCUAACACAUGCAAGUCGAACGAGACCUUCGGGUCUGGUGGUGCCCGGGUGCGUAAGGGGUGGGAACCUGCCCUUAGGUUCGGAAUAACUCCCCGAAAGGGGUGCUAAUACUGGAUAAUGUCUCCGACCCAAUGAUUUGUCGACUUUGGAUGGGCAAGCGUUGGAUUAGCUGGUUGGUAGGGUAAAAGACUACCAAGGUGAUGAUCCAUAGCUGGGCUGAGAGAAUGAUCAGCAACACUGGGACUGAGACACGGUCCAGACUCCUACGGGAGGCAGCAGAGGGUAAUAUUGGACAGUGGGCUGAAGCCUGAAGCAGCAAGGCUGCGAAAGUGAUGUAGGCCGGAGGGAAGUAAAGCUCUUUUACCCGGGAGGAUAAUGACGGUACCGGAAGAAUAAGCUCCGGCUAACUCCGUG
rnacentral:rRNA from 1 species